AAAGUACUCCCUCAUUCCCAAAAUUCUUGUCUUAGAUUUGUCUAGAUACGGAUGUAUCAAGUCACAUUUUAGUAUUAGAUACAUCCGAUCUAGACAAAUCUAAGACAAGAAAUUUGGGACAGAGGGAGUAGUUG
rfam:Triticum aestivum genome assembly, contig: Triticum_aestivum_CS42_TGACv1_scaffold_577616_7BL